UGGAAACCAGUAACCGGAAGUUUUAUUACCAUGCUGUAAACAAAGACAAAGGAAACGUACAAAAUAAAGAAUAACCUUAUCAUGCGUUAAAACUGGAUCAAUUAGCAUGAUUAGACGUACCAAAAUUUAGGAUAGAUUUUCAGAAAUGCAGAUUAAAAUUGAGAAUGGAAAUGGGGAUUAAAUAGAAGAAUAUAAGCUUAGAAAUGAUUCAAACCAUCCUGGACGAGCAAAUUUUAUGAAGAAGCCAGCAGAUGUCAAAAGAAAUAAAAAGAAUGGAACAAAAGAAACUUUGAAAAAGAACAGUGAUACGAAAAUAUUGAAUAAAUGUUUUGCAUUUAUAA